UGGAAUGAUGAGCUGUACGAGAUAUACGAUGACAUUGACAUAGUUCAGCGAAUUAAAAGACAGCGGCUAGGCUGGCUAGGUUAUGUUGUCCGAAUGGAUGAAAACACUCCAGCUCUGAAAGUAUUCAACCCCGGCCAAUUAGUGCCACGUAGCAAAAAGAAGAAACGACUAGCGCACUAUUAUUAAUUCGACUAUAAUCGCGUAUGCGGUGUCUAUGCCAGUAAAGAAGAAGAAUAUAUCAUGAAGUUCUUAGUACAAAAUACGAAAAACGGAAGAAAUUCGGAACUUAAUUGAAAAAGAUGGUAUCUGAAAAAUACUCCAUUUCGAUCGGAGGAGCAAGAAAGGUCUUUCAAAACUUCAAGAAUCCCUGAAAUUUCAACGAUGGAGUUGAUCGAAAGUUUUGGUUUGAAUGUUUCCAUUUGUACAAGGCAAAGGAAACUACAAACAUCCGAAUAGAAAAAAAAACUUGAGUUUGCAAAACAAUAUCUAAAUAUGCAAACAUUUUGGGAUAAAAUAAUUUGGUCUGAUGAAUCCUAAUUCGAGCUUAGGAGUUCAAAUAAUUGCUAUCGAAUGUGGUGUAAACCUUCAGAUCGCUUAAAACCGCAGUGCAUACAGUGAAGCAGGGAGAAGGUCCCCUCAUAGUUUCGGGCUGUUAUAAUAUUCUAAUAUUUGAUAUAGAUAGUUUAGUUAAAAUCUUCGUCCAUUGAUUUUAUAUUUUGACAUUCUUAGCGAAAAUUUUACAAUAAGUGCGCAUAAAAUCAAUUAAGGGUCGUUUAUAUUGGUUGUCAAAAAAGUCUUGCGGUAUUUUCGCUAGUUGGCGCUGAAAGCGCGUAGUUCUAGUUUUAUUCGUCGCAUCGGGUCAUGUUAUACCUCUUUGGAAAGCUCAUUUCACGCGCCAACACGUGUUUGAUUGAUUGUCGUUUCCUUUAAGUCAUUCGUGAGUUAUAGCGUCGCAAACAUGGAGCAAAAUAAAGAGAAAAUACGGCAUAUUUUACAGUACUACUACGAUAAAGGUAAAAAUGCAUCUCAAGCCGCCAAUAAAAUUUGUGCAGUUUAUGGACCCGAUACAGUUUCCAUUUCCACCGCACAAUGAUGGUUUCAACGUUUUCGUUCUGGUCGAAGAUGCGCCACGCUCAGGAAGGCCUGUCGUCGAAAAUUGCGAUAAAAUCGCUUAAUUGGUCGAAAGAGACCGGCAUAGUAGCAGCCGUAGCAUCGGUCAAAAGCUGGGCAUGAGUCAUCAAAAAUUCAUUUCAAUUUCAAUAAAAAAAAAAUCAAUAAAAAUACCGCAAGACUUUUUUGACAACCCAUUAUUCCAACAACAUAACGACUCCAAACACACAUCUUGUCUAGCCAUUUUGCUUUUUUGAAGAAAGUUCAAUCGAAAAACUGAACUGGUCAGCUCAGUCACCGGAUUUAAAUCCAAUUAAGCAUUUGUGGUCAAUAUUUUUUUAGAAAAUUUGUAAUGCAGAACAAAGUUAUUCCCACCUUACUAAAUUUACUUUCAAACCAAACGUUUUGUAUUUUUUCAAAAAUAUACUUUCACUUGACUAUCUUUGUUUAAGAGUUCUUACUUUGAAGUGAAACAAAACUUUUUCUUAUAUUCCUGGAAAAGAUAUAACAAUUUAUAAUUUGUUAGAAUACCUAUAUAUCUAUAUAUUAUUGUAUGCAUUACUAACUAUUUAUUAUAAUAAAUCUGCAUUGAAAUGACAUCUGUAAAAUUUAUAUGUACUUUCAUUUGAUGCCUAGUGUAUAUACACGUACAUAUGCAAAUAAACAAUUAUAAAUAUGUGUGUUGGUGUGGCAAAUUUGCUUUGCGUUAAUUAUCAAGAAGCAAACAACAACAAAUUAAAAUCAUUAACUCUAUACAUAAAUGCAUAACUAUAUAUAAACAAACAACUGGUUGAAGGCAAAAUCAAAGUCGGUUAUAAGUAUAUGCUUACAACCACAUAUACAGACAUGCACACAUAUACAUACAUACCCACAUGUAAUUACAUGAAAACAAACAGACCACCAUCUUUUCAAAGCGUUAAAGCCAUUUUUACAUUGUAUACAAACAUUUUUCUCUCAAAUGUAUAUGAAACUCAAAACAAUUCCAUAUAAUCAAACUAAUUAAUGAAAUAUCUUCAAUGUAUUUAAUAAGCAGUUGCAUAUGCAUUUAAUAAAUACAACAAAAUAUCAGCUGUUACAACAAAAAUGUUAAUUCGAUUAAAAAAACAAAAAAAACUUGAUUGAAUUGAUAUUUAAAUAUAGUUCGCUAAAAGUUUAAAAAAUAAAAACAUAGUAACUUAAUUAAUAUAUUUAACAACUUAUAGUUAUAUACAAAGGCAUAUAAAGUAAGUACUUACAAUAAAUAUUGAUUAUGUAAUUAAAAGAAAAUAUUUACUUGGAAAUGAAAUACAGGACAAUAAAUGCAUACACUGCUAAGUAAAAAAAUAAAACAACAAAAACAAAAAAUAUUAGCAUAAGUAAAGCAAAUGUAACGAGCGACAAGAACAAAUAAAUAAGUAAUUUACAAACAUUUAAAAUUAAUAUCAAUAAACAACAACAAUUUAUCAAAUAAAAUUAAAAGAACAAAAUAUAAGAAUUGAAAUUGAUGAGAA